GGGGAAUUUUCCGCAAUGGGCGAAAGCCUGACGGAGCAAUACCGCGUGAGGGACGAAGGCUUUUGGGUCGUAAACCUCUUUUCCCUGAGAAGAAGAUCUGACGGUAUCAGGGGAAUAAGCAUCGGCUAACUUCGUGCCAGCAGCCGCGGUAAUACGAGGGAUGCAAGCGUUAUCCGGAAUUAUUGGGCGUAAAGCGUCCGCAGGUGGCUCUGUAAGUCUGUCGUUAAAGAAUGGGGCUCAACCCCAUACAGGCGAUGGAAGCUACAAGGCUAGAGUUUGGUAGGGGUCACGGGAAUUCCUAGUGUAGCGGUGAAAUGCGUAGAUAUUAGGAAGAACACCAGCGGCGAAAGCGCGUGACUGGGCCAGUACUGACACUCAUGGACGAAAGCUAGGGGAGCGAAAGGGAUUAGAUACCCCUGUAGUCCUAGCCGUAAACGAUGAUAACUAGGUGUUGCCCGUAUCGACCCGGGCAGUGCCGUAGCCAACGCGUUAAGUUAUCC
rnacentral:rRNA from 1 species